rnacentral:tRNA from 1 species
GCCUGGGUGGCUCAGUCGGUUAAGCAUCUGCCUUCUGCUCAGAUCAUGAUCUUGUAGUUUGUGAGUUCAAGUCCCAUAUCGGGCU